rnacentral:lncRNA from 10 species
GCCGCCGCCGUGCGGUGGCUGCUGCUUCUCGGGCGCCGAAGACAUCGGGUGGCUGCUGCCGCCGCCGCCGCUGCCGCCGCUGCUCUGCGCCGCGGACGGGCCGGGAGGAGGAGGAGGAGGAGGAGGAAGAGGACGACGGGGGGGAGGAGGGCGAAGGGGAGGGGGCUGCGCGCGCGGGGCUGGCUGCACCUCUGCCGUCAUCGGCGGCCACUUCUCCCGAGCGAGCCGCGGCGCGCCCGCCCCCGCGCUCCCGCCCGCCCUCCCCGAGGAGCUGCUGGAUCCGCCGGCGGUUGGCUCAGAGCCCCUCUCUCUCCAACUCCCGCCUCCCCCACCUCUCUCCUCCCUCUUUCUUUCUCGCCCUCCCACAAGGAAAGGAGCCGAGCUGAGGCCGAGGGCAGCCCGGGCGAAGGCCGUGAGGAAGCUACCCCCGCCGGUAUUUUUUGGGGGGAGGCACCACCUCCAGGUCUUACGGCCGUGCGCCCCAGCCGGGAGCAGCCCUGAGUCCCCGCCGCCCGCGGCGCUCGGCUCCGAGAUUCCGGGCGAGGCAGCCUUCACUCCAUCUCCGCUCGGCUGCGUCUCGCGGGUCGGCCUAAGACCCUCCCGGAGUUCCCUCCCUCCGUCCCUGCCCCCCUCGGGCCCCCGCGUUGGUGGGCGCUUAAAGAGCCCCCACUCUCGCCGCCCCGCGGCCGCCAGCAGAAUCCGCCCCGCCUCCACCAACCUGGCGAGCAAGUGUUAAUGCGCCCUCCGCCCGCGGUUCAGCCCCGGUGCGCGCUGGACCCCGCCUUCCCCGCCCGGGCGGCGCGGCGGGAAACGCUCCCUGGGCCGGGGCCUUCCCCGACGCGCACAGCCCUGUAGCAAAUCGCAAGUGCGGCGGCCUCCCGGUCGUGACCAUCGCAGGCACAGCCGGCUCGACUCCGGUCCUCGCGGCCGGCCGGCUAAGUUCCCGCGAGGGACCGCCUACCCACUCUCCCCGCCCCGGGAAGAACUGCGCCGCUCCCGGGAUUUUUCGGACUCGCCCAGCAGCUUGCGAGCGGGCGGGCAGCCGCCGGGGCAGAGCGCAGGCGGAAAACGAAAGCGCAGCACGAGUCGCGGCCGCUUUGUCUCGGGCGCCGCGGGCCUGACGGGGGCGAGUGAGAACCCGCUGGCCCAGAGGCGACCCAGACCGCACAGGCCCCUGAAUAAGCGGCGUGCUCAGUCACUCACCCGUGCGCGCACACCCUCGCGCUCUUGUCCACACAUUAGCACACACAUACAUGUCUUGAUGCACAUGCAAACCCGGUAAAUUACGCAAACAGACGUGUAAACACACCCAUGCGUGUGUGCACACUCAUAUGCAGAGGGCGCUCAGGCAUGUGCGCACCCACUAAUGCACUCGUUGACACGGAAGCUUAAGGCCCACAGGAGCUUAAGUUCGCACUCACUCCCACUCACGCGUACACACGCCACGCUCGGAUCUGAACUCACACGUAGUUCAGUUGCCCUCCCCCACCCCCAACACACACUGAAAACCCGCCUAUUUGGCCCCGCGGCCCCGUUUUCAAAGCGCAGGUUCCGAUUUCCCGAGAGAUGGCAAAGGCCCUGGCAGGAAGUUUACAGGGUUUAACGUAAACAAGUUCUGGGGGAUUCUUUAAUAAUAAUAAUAGAGAAUUCCGCGUGCGCAGGGCGGGAGGGGGGAGUUGGCCUAAUGCCCCUGUGGGCUCGGCCUGCCGCCGCCGCGGGGCCUCUGACACUGCGCGCCAGGCCAGGUUCCUGAGAGCAGACAGCGCGGGCUGGGAGCGCCGGCAAGGGCGGCCCUCGCGCACCUGGCUGCCAGCCCGCAGGGGGCUCGCACGCAGACCUGCCCUUGCCACCUCAGCGCUCGGGUGCGGGCUGGGGGCGGUGGAGCCACGAAAGGUGGUGCCGAGAGCGGAGCGCAGGACAGCGCAGGAGCCCCGGCGCAUCGCGGCGCGCACAGACCCAGGAUUUGUGAAGAGGUGACCCAAAUUUCAAGACAAUGUUGGAUGCAAACGGAUUUGCCAGCAACUGCAUCACUGUCAAAACCAGCUCUGCCCGUGUCUUCCGAAGAUACCAAGUGAAAUACAUGUAGAUGGGAUUUACAUCUGAAAAACCAAGUGAGAAACUGAAGACCAGAGAGGGUGAGUGGUUUACUCAGUUUGGCACAACUGACCCCAACCUAGCCCUCCAUGAGGACUGAGCGCAUGAGAGAUCCUGAGCCACAGCCGCCCAGCCCUGCUCCUCUCGAAUUUCUGACCUACAGGAACUGCAAGAAGUAAUGAAAGACUGCUGUUUAAAGCCACUGCAUUUUGGCAUGAUUUGUUAUGCAGUCGUAGAUAACCAGAAAACAUCGGAUUUACAUUUUAAGGAAACAGAGAAGCAAAGAAGUUAGCAAGCUUGUUUUGGCAGAAGAAAAAACACAAAAUACCCAACCACAGAUCCUCAAAAAUAUUGCUAAGCACUAAUUUUGCUAACAUGUUAGACAGCCUUCGGAUCUAGGCAAUCUUGUUCCUCAGCUGGAAAGAGUUCCUGCCAGCCAUGUGAUUCCAAAUCCACCCUGGACAUAUGGGGAUAAUGAGAAAAUCAGCUCCGGCCUUCCCUGGCCUUCCAGCCAAGUGAAUGGGGGCAUCCCCUGGUGCUUCAGCCCGGGGCCCACCCAGAGGAUGCUAGCUGGCCUGCAGAGGCCUCAACCAUGCCCUCCUGGACUCAGGUAAGACUGAGGUUUCCAUGCCCUCAAAACAAUUGUUCAGACAAAAACUCACUGCCCAGGUCAAAGUCACAGCACCAGAAAGCCAACCUGAGGAUGAAGACAAAGCUCUUUGUUGGCACAGUCCCCUGAUCAUUCGAGGUCAGCAUCUCCAUCAAAAUGGACCCAAUGCUGAGGCAAGAAGGAGAACAUCACUGUUAAGAAGGUAAUGAGUCACAAAUGCUAUUUCGAUGGUUUUCUUUGAAAGAAAUACACAGAACCAAACCAAUUUUAAUUAAAGAUCUUGUCUUUGUAAUCAGGCAGCCACAAAUGAAGGCAAAACUGCUUUCAUGUGGCAUAAUAUACACAGAGCUGAACUAGUUUUCCCAUAAAAGGGCAGGUUCUUUUCUUCAAAUAAGAAAAGAGUUUGUUCCUAACAAUAUGGGGGAUGCAACAGAAAGCUGUCUUUUGCAAAGUAUAAAAUUGCAGAUCCUCCCGUGGAAGCCAUUUCUUGAUGCUAAACCAAUGCGAACGUUUGCCAAACGCACAUGCGAGCCGGGAUUAUCCUACCCUUUGAGAUUAGACAUGUGAUCCUGAUUUUUAAGUGAAAAACGCAGCCAGAGGCCAAAUAAACAUACCUACAAGUACAUCGAAAGCUCAAAUGGUUGAGAAAUGAUUGUAACACACCCCGGUGUGUAUUUCUGAGGAAGAAUCAACAUGCACAUGGAAAUUGAUGUUUUGAUUUUUAAUUUUAAAACGACGACAGAACUGAAAUACCUCCCCUAACUAGGUCCACUGAAACCAGUGAGGAGAUAAUCAUUUUCAGUUAAAUAUGCAUGUAAUUUAAUAAUCCACAGAUGGAAAAUGCAUUUGAGGUGGACUGAACACAGCCAGGAGUUUUUGCUUAUCGACAGCACUGAAUCCUGCCUUGACUAGAGAGACUCGUCAUGUGAUCAACUGUGGCCAGAGGGCAUCCUGCAGACAGCUCCUGUCACACCACACUGACCAGACUCUUAUGAGUAUUUAAGCAUCUUCAGGGAAGCGAUUGACUGUCUUAUAAUGGUCUUACAAGUACGGAACUUUAUUACCUGCUAAUAAUCAGAGCACAUGAUGGCACAAUAGAAUAUACGAGUGAAGUUCUAAAUGCAAGGUUGUUCUUAUUCUGUGAGUGGCAAAACUCAUGCAGUGAGCAGAUAAAGCUGGCAGGAGGCAUUGGCGCCCUAAUGCUGGGCACUAACCACCUGCCCGGACUGCGAAUAUCUGUUGGGUCCUUUCUAUAUCUGGUCUAUUCUCGUGUUUGAUUAUAUCCUGGUGGCAAGAAUAGCAAAAUCAACUCUCCUUCCUAUCCCAUGUGGAGAGGCAUGAUUUGAGUCAGAGAGCAUUAUCCUCUCUGCGUUAUCCAACCCCAUGUCCCAUGAUGCACUUUGUAGACAAGCAAGUGUCCCUGGUGGAGAAUCCACAGCCACACAUCCUCAUUGGUUGCAAGGAUCAGUGUCCAAUAUCUACUGCCAUGAUCAUUCUCAGUUUUACAUCCACAGAGCUUCAUAGAAUUCUAACACCACAGGUCCAAGUAGAGGUUUUGGCCUCAGAGUGGGCUAGAUUCCACCUCUGACAGCAGCUGUGGGACUGUUUUUCCAUCUGUAAAAUGGAGACAAGAGUAUCACCUACCUCAUGGUGUUGGUGGGAUCGUUAAACAGAAUUCCGAUCAUGAAACCCUUAGCCUGCUCCCUGCAUAGGCUGCAUGCGCUCAGUGAGCUAUGGCUCUGUUUCAUGCUGACUUUACCAUCAUGUAAGCAGUUUUAAAAAUGCUAGAAGCUUUAGUCAUAGAAUUACCAUAUGAUACAGCCUACUGCAGAGUCCAGAGGCUGAGGCAGGAGAGUUACUUGAACCUGGGAGGCGGAGGUUGCAGUGAGCCAAGAUCGCGCCACUGCACUCCAGCCUGGGCAACAGAGUGAGAUUCUGUCUCAACACAAAAAAGAAGACAUGUGUCCCCAUCACAGUAUCAUACAGAGUGCUUCCACUGCCCUAAAAUACCCUGUGCUCUUCCUAUUCAUCCCUCUCUUCAACCCCAGCAACCACUGAUCCUUUUACCAUCUCCAUGGUUUUGCCUUUCCCAGAAUGUCAUAUUGUUGGAAUCAUACGCUAUGUAGCCUUUGCAAAUGGGCUUCUUUCACCGAGCAAUGUGCAUUGAAGGUGCCUCUAUGACUUUUCAAGGGUUGAUAGCUCAUUCCUUUUUAUUGCUAAAUAAUAUUCCAUUGUCUGAAUGUACCACAUUUUGUUUAUCCAUUCACCUACUAAAGGACAUCUUGGUUGCUUCCAAGUUUGGGCAAUUAUAAAUAAAACUGCUAUAAACAUUGUGUGCAGGUUUUUUUUUCUAGAUGUCAGUUUUUAACUCAUUUGGACUAUAGAGCACUAUUGCUGGAUCAUAUGAUACGUGUGUGUUUAGUUUUAUGAGAAACUGCCAAACUGUCUUCCAAAGUGGCUGCACCAUUUUGCAUUCCCACCGUCAAUGAAUGAGAGCUCCGGUUGUUCCACAUCCUCACCAGCAUUUGGUGUUGUCAUUGUUUUGGAUUUUAGCCAUUUCAUAGGUGUGUAGAGGUAGCUCAUUGUUUUAAUCUAAUAAACAUCUUAUUGAAGAAUAACACACAAGCAGAAAAUUUCAGAGAUACAAACGAACAGCUUUUUCAACCAUCACCCACUGGAUACAGUUCUGUAUCCAGCACCCAGGCCAAGAAACUGACACUAACGGUGCCCUGUGCCC